GUUUUUGUUUUUUAAAUCUUUACUCCCCCCCCCUAUAGAAUAUAGGUGCUAGAAGUGAAAUGGGUGGGAGGGUUUGUUCCAGGACUCGCUAGGAGGAAAGGCGAACGUGGGAGAAGGCUGGGGCAGUUGGGUCCAGGAAGGCUUUGUGAGUCAAAUCGGCGUGGGAGGGUUAGGGCCAGAAUUUUGGGGUGGGCAGCCUAAUAGAAAAAACACCUGGAACAAAGAGGCUGGCCAACAACAAAAAAACCCCAUGCCCUCCACUCAAAACCCUCUGCAAAACCAAAACAACAACAAAAGCAAAAUUUGUGUUUCUCUAAAUGAAAUCCGAACAGUAUGUGAUACAGUCGAGCGAGUGCAGGGAGAGAAUUUAGGUGACCCCUUUCCUGUUAAAAAAAAAUUCACGAGGAGAAAAUAUAUGCUUUUUGACUUCCCCUUCCCAGAAAAUUGUCUUAAAAGGUUGGUUUUCAGUACCCAAACAGUCAGCUAUUCGCCACUGAUAUAAGGCAUCAUCUCUCAAAUUAAUUUUGAACAGGAGAAUAUCCACCACGAUCCAUUUUCGCUUCAUCUUUCUCUAAAUGCUGCAUUCCGGAGCUCCAAUUUGGGAGUUUUCCCCCCCAUUAUAAGACUCUUUAAAAACAGAUUAAUGAGUUUUAAAAGGCUGGGCGCAGCCUUUCUGCAGUCUGGAGCGCGUCGCUCAUAAACAGUCGCUGAAUUGUCCGUUUCGGUUCCCGAGAGGAGCUUAGAAGUGUGGGAGUAGCGAGCUGCCGAUCGGCUCAAAGGUCCCCAGUGCGGAGGCGAGGAGAGCCUUUUCUCCCAUUAGGAACGGCUGGCUUCCUCCAGCAGAGAGUGGACCCAAUAUGGCGAGAGGGAGAACAGCCUGCAAGCGGGACCCAGCUCAUCCUGCGGCCUCAGGAGAAGAUUCCCUUCUGCAGAGGCGACGCAGCCACCUGAGCUUGAUUUACAGCAUAUCGCUCCAGACAUGAGGGACACAGUUUCUCUUCCCCACCUCCACCCCUUCCUCCGCUUCCCUUCGACCACAAUGAAUGCAACAAAAAACGAGCAAGCUGCCACAGCUACCUAUGGGCUGCGUUUAUGAAAAACGUCUGGAGAACUGCAGUCCUCGAGCUAUGGUCGGAAAGGGCGGAUCUUUUUCCAUCUUGGAUAUUUUCAAUGCUCCAGUUCUCCCCACUGUUGUUGAUUUUUGAGGAGUGGGGAGUGGAGACAAAAAUGUGUAAACCUUCUAAGCUUUGAAAGCUCAGAGAAACAGAGGAGACCUGAAGGUUGGAUAUUGGAGAUUUAUGUAUUCAAAAGCUCCAAGGGCGUCAGUCCUUGUUCUCUUUCUCUCUCGCUUUUUUCCCUUUCUAAAAUCAAAUGAUCAUAUCUUAAGUCUGUAUUAUUCAGAAUAAAAACUUUAUUUUUUUCCAGAAUGUGAGCAGCAAGGAAUGUAUAACUUUCAAAACAAAAUCUAGCUUUGUGUUGUUCUCGUUCAGGUUUACACAUUUCCCUUUAGUUCGAUGUUAACAGGCACCCGCUUCUGUUCCUGUGGUGGCCUGCUGUUUAUUUUCCAGAUUUUAUUGCAUUUUUUUUCCUUCUUCUUUUUAAAUAAAGGAGUUUAAGUUCCCCCCUUCCAAA